GAUGAACGCUGGCGGCGUGCCUAAUACAUGCAAGUCGAGCGAACGGACGAGAAGCUUGCUUCUCUGAUGUUAGCGGCGGACGGGUGAGUAACACGUGGAUAACCUACCUAUAAGACUGGGAGAACUUCGGGAAACCGGUGCUAAUACCGGAUAAUAUUUUGAACCGCAUGGUUCAAAAGUGAAAGACGGUCUUGCUGUCACUUAUAGAUGGAUCCGCGCUGCAUUAGCUAGUUGGUAAGGUAACGGCUUACCAAGGCAACGAUGCAUAGCCGACCUGAGAGGGUGAUCGGCCACACUGGAACUGAGACACGGUCCAGACUCCUACGGGAGGCAGCAGUAGGGAACCUUCCGCAAUGGGCGAAAGCCUGACGGAGCAACGCCGCGUGAGUGAUGAAGGUCUUCGGAUCGUAAAACUCUGUUAUUAGGGAAGAACAUAUGUGUAAGUAACUGUGCACAUCUUGACGGUACCUAAUCAGAAAGCCACGGCUAACUACGUG
rnacentral:rRNA from 1 species